UACGUAGGGGGCUAGCGUUGUCCGGAAUCAUUGGGCGUAAAGAGCGUGUAGGCGGCCCGGUAAGUCCGCUGUGAAAGUCGGGGGCUCAACCCUCGAAUGCCGGUGGAUACUGUCGGGCUAGAGUGCGGGAGAGGAGAGUGGAAUUCCUGGUGUAGCGGUGAAAUGCGCAGAUAUCAGGAAGAACACCCGUGGCGAAGGCGGCUCUCUGGAACGCAACUGACGCUGAGACGCGAAAGCGUGGGGAGCAAACAGG
rnacentral:rRNA from 1 species